rnacentral:rRNA from 1 species
UGAGGAAUAUUGGUCAAUGGUCGCAAGACUGAACCAGCCAUGCCGCGUGCAGGAAGACGGUCCUAUGGAUUGUAAACUGCUUUAUACAGGAAGAAACCCUCCCACGUGUGGGAGCUUGACGGUACUGUAGGAAUAAGGAUCGGCUAACUCCGUGCCAGCAGCCGCGGUAAUACGGAGGAUCCAAGCGUUAUCCGGAAUCAUUGGGUUUAAAGGGUCCGUAGGCGGUCUUAUAAGUCAGUGGUGAAAGCCCAUCGCUCAACGAUGGAACUGCCAUUGAUACUGUAAGACUUGAAUGCUUAGGAAGUAACUAGAAUAUGUAGUGUAGCGGUGAAAUGCUUAGAUAUUACAUGGAAUACCAAUUGCGAAGGCAGGUUACUACUAAGUGAUUGACGCUGAUGGACGAAAGCGUGGGGAGCGAACAGGAUUAGAUACCCUGGUAGUCCACGCCGUAAACGAUGGAUACUAGCUGUUCGGCGCAAGUUGAGUGGCUAAGCGAAAGUGAUAAGUAUCCCACCUGGGGAGUACGCACGCAAGUGUGAAACUCAAAUGAAUUGACGGGGUCAUAGCUGUUUCCUG